UACGUAGGGUGCGAGCGUUGUCCGGAAUUAUUGGGCGUAAAGGGCUCGUAGGCGGUUUGUCGCGUCGGGAGUGAAAACCAGGUGCUUAACACCUGGCUUGCUUUCGAUACUGGCAGACUAGAGGUAUGCAGGGGAGAACGGAAUUCCUGGUGUAGCGGUGAAAUGCGCAGAUAUCAGGAGGAACACCGGUGGCGAAGGCGGUUCUCUGGGCAUGACCUGACGCUGAGGGACGAAAGCUAGGGGAGCGAAUGGG
rnacentral:rRNA from 1 species